rnacentral:rRNA from 1 species
UCUGCAUUCGAUACGGGCAGGCUAGAGUGUGGUAGGGGAGAUCGGAAUUCCUGGUGUAGCGGUGAAAUGCGCAGAUAUCAGGAGGAACACCGGUGGCGAAGGCGGAUCUCUGGGCCAUUACUGACGCUGAGGAGCGAAAGCGUGGGGAGCGAACAGGAUUAGAUACCCUGGUAGUCCACGCCGUAAACGUUGGGAACUAGGUGUGGGUCACAUUCCACGUGGUCCGCGCCGCAGCUAACGCAUUAAGUUCCCCGCCUGGGGAGUACGGCCGCAAGGCUAAAACUCAAAGGAAUUGACGGGGGCCCGCACAAGCAGCGGAGCAUGUGGCUUAAUUCGACGCAACGCGAAGAACCUUACCAAGGCUUGACAUAUAUCGGAAACGGCCAGAGAUGGUCGCCCCCUUGUGGUCGGUAUACAGGUGGUGCAUGGUUGUCGUCAGCUCGUGUCGUGAGAUGUUGGGUUAAGUCCCGCAACGAGCGCAACCCUCGUUCUGUGUUGCCAGCGGGUUAUGCCGGGGACUCACAGGAGACUGCCGGGGUCAACUCGGAGGAAGGUGGGGACGACGUCAAAUCAUCAUGCCCCUUAUGUCUUGGGCUGCACACGUGCUACAAUGGCCGGUACAAUGAGCUGCGAUACCGCGAGGUGGAGCGAAUCUCAAAAAGCCGGUCUCAGUUCGGAUUGGGGUCUGCAACUCGACCCCAUGAAGUCGGAGUUGCUAGUAAUCGCAGAUCAGCAUUGCUGCGGUGAAUACGUUCCCGGGCCUUGUAC